rnacentral:sRNA from 1 species
GUUGGCCUCAAACUGUGAUCACCCACACACCCACUUUCUGUUGGAUGGCUCUAAGAGGAGCUCUACUGGAUUCCUAAACAGGAGACUCACCCCCUCCCCUGGCCCUGGGCAGAGGGAGAACCUGGGCCCUGGGUCAGUGGCCCCAGCGCAAUGUCUGCCUCCCACAGGCUGCCACACCCUGUACCUGAGCUCAGUGAGCGUGGAGACCCUGACCGGAACCCUCGCCGUGCAGAAGGCCAUCUCCACCACCUUUGAGAGGGACGUCCUCCCCACACCCACCGUGGUCCACUUCAAAGUCACAGAGCAGGGCAUCACCCUGACUGAUGUCCAGAGGAAGAUGUUUUUCCGGCGCCAUUACCCACUCACCACCCUCCGCUUCUGUGGUAUGGACCCUGAGCAACGGAAGUGGCAGAAGUACUGCAAACCCUCCUGGUAAGGCCUUCCUGUCUCAGGGCCCCAAACCCAACAUGGGGAGGGAACUGCAGAAGGAAAGAGGCACCAUUCUGA